AUGCACGCUGGCGGCGUGCCUAAUACAUGCAAGUCGAGCGAACAGACGAGGAGCUUGCUCCUCUGACGUUAGCGGCGGACGGGUGAGUAACACGUGGAUAACCUACCUAUAAGACUGGGAUAACUUCGGGAAACCGGAGCUAAUACCGGAUAAUAUAUUGAACCGCAUGGUUCAAUAGUGAAAGACGGUUUUGCUGUCACUUAUAGAUGGAUCCGCGCCGCAUUAGCUAGUUGGUAAGGUAACGGCUUACCAAGGCAACGAUGCGUAGCCGACCUGAGAGGGUGAUCGGCCACACUGGAACUGAGACACGGUCCAGACUCCUACGGGAGGCAGCAGUAGGGAAUCUUCCGCAAUGGGCGAAGGCUUGACGGAGCAACGCCGCGUGAGUGAUGAAGGUCUUCGGAUCGUAAAACUCUGUUAUUAGGGAAGAACAAAUGUGUAAGUAACUAUGCACGUCUUGACGGUACCUAAUCAGAAAGCCACGGCUAACUACGUG
rnacentral:rRNA from 1 species